rnacentral:sRNA from 1 species
CCCGGGUUUAUUUAAUGAUUUGAUACAAUAGUUUUAUCAUUCCUCAAAGCUUCUUCUAUAGUAAAGAAGGCUUUUCACCACCGUUUUCCUUGUAUUGCUAUUCCGCUUUGAGGAAGGUUAUAUGGGAAAGGAACAUCUUCUGAGUUGCUAAGAAAACAUAGUAGUUUCUCUGAUCCACUGCACAUUCCACACUAAGGUUGGUGGUAGAGGGCCGUGCGAUUUGUGAAGUUCCGUUCCUUGGAUAGAGGCUUGCUUGAUGCGAGGAUCCUACCAUAAAUUCGCCUGGUUCGGACAUGGGGGAGGAGUGAAUGUUGACUUACUCGUGUCUCCUGUUCGUGGCACUAAGCGUCGACCCGAGUCCUAUGCGUCAAGUUUUUGAAAUCGCUUAAUUUGACUUUGCCAGUGUAGUUGAUGAAACGACGAAUGAUAAGAGAUAUGAUGAUACGGCCAAUGUUGACGGGUGGUAAUUUGUAAACUUGAAUAACACUUCUAGAUUAAAAAGAGCUCGAUGGGGAUUUGGACUGAGUUCGCUGGUGCCGUUGAGGAGCCAUUCCCAUCCGUACAUAUAUAUAUAUGUAUUGCGUGUUUCAUUUGUAAAGCGCAAGUUAUUUGCGAUCCUAAACAUAG